UACGUAGGGCGCAAGCGUUAUCCGGAAUUAUUGGGCGUAAAGAGCUCGUAGGCGGUUUGUCGCGUCUGCUGUGAAAGACCGGGGCUCAACUCCGGUUCUGCAGUGGGUACGGGCAGACUAGAGUGAUGUAGGGGAGACUGGAAUUCCUGGUGUAGCGGUGAAAUGCGCAGAUAUCGAGAGGAACACCAGUGGCGAAGGCGAGUCCCUGGACACUUCCUGACACUGAGGCACGAAAGCUAGGGGAGCAAACAGG
rnacentral:rRNA from 1 species